rnacentral:rRNA from 1 species
CAUGCCGCGUGUGUGAAGAAGGCUUUCGGGUUGUAAAGCACUUUCAGUCGGGAGGAAAGGUCCAUCCCUAAUACGGAUGGGAGCUGACGAUACCGACAGAAGAAGCACCGGCUAACUCCGUGCCAGCCCCCUCGGUGACUGAGCGGGCUGGCAAGGCGCAUA